GGAGGGGAAUCAGGUUAGAAGGGAGGAGACGAGGGGGAGGAGGGGAGUCGGGUUGAAGAGAGGAGAGGAGGGAGGGGAGGAGGGGAGUUGGGGUAGAAGGGAGGACAGGAUGGAGGGGAGGAGGGAGCCUGCUUACAGUGCACCUGCAGGAGCCUCUACCCCAGAUCCUGCUCCUGAGGGCAGACUGCUACUGGAGUCUUCAACCCGAAGCUGAGGCACAGACAAGGGUGGCUGUUUGCUGGGGAUGUACAGGACGAAGCCAAGGGUGGAGAGGGAAGAUGAUGGCUGCAGGCUAAGGGCUGUAGACUGGUGCUGCCCCCUAUCCCCAAGAUGACUUUCUGGCCCAGAAUUCAGAAGACCCUGAAGAUUGGAACUAGAACCUGGCUUUCCAGGUCUUUCUGAAGGUCUGCUUGCCAAGGACCACUAAGCGUGAAGCAGGUAGAGUGAGACUUAGGACCCCGGGAGAAAAACCGCCCCUGGAGGGCGCGCCACGGGUGUGCGGUGUAGACGCGGGCGGGCCGGCGGCGGAGGAGGAGGUCCCGGCGCCGACCCCUGGAGCGGAGGCAGCAGCCGGGCGCAGCGAGACAACACAACCUUCUAUGCCAAGGAAAGCGAGGUCAGGAGGGGAUUCCAGUGACAGCCUUCCCUACAGUCUCUAGUCCCAAGUGAUGGGGAGCUGUGAUCACAAAAUGUCAGUCUUCUAUUGUGAGAGAUGGUUCUGCCUGGUGGCUCUUUGGUCCUCUGUUCCCUGAGCACUGUUGGGUGCCCCAGCUCCUCCCACCCUCUCUGCUUCAAUCAAGACACUUACGUUGUAGAAAGCAUAGCUGACUGCAACAGCUGCAAUUUUUAUCAUCUCCCUGCAAGCCAAAUAUUAAAGUAUUUUAGUGGAACUUUGAAGUUCAGCGGGGUGGUACCUUCAUUGAUUGCCUGUCUUAUAUUUGAAUGCCAGUCAGUUUCUUGCGACAUGACUCUUUCAUUGUAACGUAAAAAACAAAAGCAAAAAACAAACUGCCUCACUAAUACAUUUGAGUUUUAAAACCCACUGUGGGUAAGAGGUUGAUGAAAAGGGAGCUUGCAAAUGCUGCUGAUGGGAGUGUGAACAGCGAUGGCCUUUCUGGAAGGCAACUUGACACUAUGAAUCAAAAGUUUAAAAACAUGCACACUUGUGCUUGAGUCAGUGUUUCCUAUUAGACAACUGAAUUCCAAGAAAUAAUCAUAUUUAGAUAUGAGGCCAUAUUUAGAUAUGAGGCUGUUCAGCAGAGCAUGUUUGUAAUUAAAAAAUGUGGGACACAAACAAAUUUCCAAGAAGAGGAGAUUCAAUAAAUAAGUGGUGAUACAUCUACAUAAGGGAAUACUCUUCACUUAUUAGAAAUUGUGCUAUAGAACAUUUAAUUACAUGAGAAGGUGUUCAUGAUUCUCUAUUACAUGCAAGAAUCGGGUUUCAAAACAGUAUAUGUAAGACAACUCCAUAAAACCUGUGUGAAUAGUUACGUGUGUGUGUGUAUACAUGUUAAACAAAAUAGAAUAGAAACCCACAUAUUAAUAGUGUUUAUUUCUGCACAGUGGAACAAUAUAUGAUGUUUAUUUUCUUUUUUUGUACCUCU
rnacentral:lncRNA from 10 species